rnacentral:rRNA from 1 species
CAGUACCGCGGUAAUACGAAGGGUGCAAGCGUUACUCGGAAUUACUGGGCGUAAAGCGUGCGUAGGUGGUGGUUUAAGUCCGUUGUGAAAGCCCUGGGCUCAACCUGGGAAUUGCAGUGGAUACUGGGUCACUAGAGUGUGGUAGAGGAUAGUGGAAUUUCCGGUGUAGCAGUGAAAUGCGUAGAGAUCGGAAGGAACAUCUGUGGCGAAGGCGACUAUCUGGGCCAACACUGACACUGAGGCACGAAAGCGUGGGGAGCAAACAGGAUUAGAUACCCCGGUAGUCCCUGUCUCUUAUACC